UUAUGUAUAGCUCAGUUGGUAGAGCAAAGGACUAUAGAUUCUUAAGUCGUCAGUUCAAAUUCAGCAAGCUGGAUAAU
rnacentral:tRNA from 1 species